GACGAACGCUGGCGGCGUGCUUAACACAUGCAAGUCGAACGGAGAGGCUCCAGCUUGCUGGAGUACUCGAGUGGCGAACGGGUGAGUAACACGUGGGUAAUCUGCCCUGCAUUCUGGGAUAAGCCUGGGAAACUGGGUCUAAUACUGGAUAUGACCUUUCUCCUUAUGGGGUUUGGUGGAAAGUUUUUCGGUGUAGGAUGAGCCCGCGGCCUAUCAGCUUGUUGGUGGGGUGAUGGCCUACCAAGGCGACGACGGGUAGCCGGCCUGAGAGGGUGAUCGGCCACAUUGGGACUGAGAUACGGCCCAGACUCCUACGGGAGGCAGCAGUGGGGAAUAUUGCACAAUGGGCGGAAGCCUGAUGCAGCGACGCCGCGUGAGGGAUGACGGCCUUCGGGUUGUAAACCUCUUUCAGCAGGGACGAAGCGUAAGUGACGGUACCUGCAGAAGAAGCACCGGCUAACUAUGUG
rnacentral:rRNA from 1 species